GACGAACGCUGGCGGCGUGCUUAACACAUGCAAGUCGAACGGUGAAGCGCCUUCCUUUUUGGUGGGUGUGGAUGAGUGGCGAACGUGUGAGUAACACGUGAGUAACCUGCCCCCUUCUUCUGGAUAACCGCAUGAAAGUGUGGCUAAUACGGGAUAUUCUGGGUCUUUCGCAUGAUGAGUCUGGGAAAGAUAUUGUUUCGGUGGGGGAUGGGCUCGCGGCCUAUCAGCUUGUUGGUGGGGUGAUGGCCUACCAAGGCGGUGACGGGUAGCCGGCCUGAGAGGGUGGACGGUCACACUGGGACGGAGAAACGGCACAGACUGAUAGGGGAGCCAGCAGUGGGGAAUAGUGCAGAAGGAGCGCAAGACUGAUGCAGCGACGCCGAGUGAGGGAGGGAGGACGUCGGGUUGUGAACGACGUUCGCCAGUGAAGCAGGCAUGCUUCGUUUGUGGGUGGGUUGACGGUAGCUGGAUAAGAAGCGCCGGCUAACUACGUG
rnacentral:rRNA from 1 species